rnacentral:miRNA from 8 species
ACCUCGGGUGUACAUUAUCAUCU